rnacentral:rRNA from 1 species
UACAGAGGGGGCAAGCGUUGUUCGGAAUUACUGGGCGUAAAGGGCGCGUAGGCGGCCUGUUAAGUCGAAUGUGAAAUCCCCGGGCUCAACCCGGGAACUGCGUCCGAUACUGGCAGGCUUGAAUUCGGGAGAGGGAUGCGGAAUUCCAGGUGUAGCGGUGAAAUGCGUAGAUAUCUGGAGGAACACCGGUGGCGAAGGCGGCAUCCUGGACCGAGAUUGACGCUGAGGCGCGAAAGCCAGGGGAGCAAACGGG